rnacentral:rRNA from 1 species
UGGACGUGUCGGUAAACGACUAGGGGAAACCUUAGUCCCGAUUUACCUAGGGGGAGUAAACCCGUAUAGGAAAAGUAACUUAGCGUAUACCGUCACGGUAUUACACUAAGUUAGUCCGAUGCCGUAAAAUGGAAAGGUGGAAAUACGCGUACUAGAUUAGGCCGUUAGUCGGUCUCGGUUUAGGGUAAGUUUGUGGGGUAAAGGGCCGUUACCAAGCGACCGAGUCUAGUAGCCGGACGUGAGACGGUUGUAACGGCCGACCAUUGGGACUCGGAGAUAGGCCCCAGACUCCUACGGGUAGGGCAGCAGUCGGGAAGUAUUGCGCAAUGGAGGAAACUCUGUACGCAGUGUACGCCGCGUAUAGGAAGAAGGUUUUCGGUAUUGUUAAACUAUUGUCGUUAGGGUAAGAGAAAGGACUAGUACCUAACGGUAGGAAGCUCCGGCGUAACUACGUGCC